rnacentral:rRNA from 1 species
UACGUAGGGGGCAAGCGUUGUCCGGAAUCAUUGGGCGUAAAGAGCGUGUAGGCGGCUCGGUAAGUCUGCUGUGAAAGUCCAGGGCUCAACCCUGGAAGGCCGGUGGAAACUGUCGGGCUAGAGUCCGGAAGAGGAGAGUGGAAUUCCCGGUGUAGCGGUGAAAUGCGCAGAUAUCGGGAGGAACACCAAUGGCGAAGGCAGCUCGCUGGGACGGUACUGACGCUGAGACGCGAAAGCGUGGGGAGCAAACAGG